GGUACAACAAGAAUGCAACUAUCUAGCAGGAUGGUUUUCUACAAGAGAAGUUGAUGCUAGAAGAGCACAUGCAUUAGAAAAUCUUCAAGUGGAGCUUAGAAUGGCACAAAGAAAGGUUAUGGUUGAAGCUUGUCUAUUCGAACAAUUAUUGUUU